UAAUACUCAACAGGAAUGUCCAAAGAAAAGGAAGCUAGUUGAUUGCAAAACAGAAAUAUAAUGGAGUAGCAAAUCAUCUGCUCAACUGUUCAAGGAUCACAAAAGCAUACCCCUACAAACCUACAGCAAUAUCUUAAUAAAAAUCACAAGAAACCUCCAAUCCUUCAUGAGUAUAAUUUAAGAUGUGCAUACCAAUCUGCAAAAUCAAAAUUGUUUUGGCAACUACUUAGAUUUAAAGCAUUCAAGCUGUAUAUUAGCAAAAGCAUGCAUACGGUGGUCAACAGUGUCAAUAUGUGAAGUUCACGAUUUAUAUGCUAAAAAAUGUUGGUGUUUGUCUAGAAGAUAUGCUGUGGAGUAACCAAAAAAAGAUAGGAGAAGAGGAAACAAUUUGAGGCAAGUUUUCUUUUCCCCAGUGUCUACCUUGGGUUAAGUUUUAGCAUACACACAUCAUGGCCUCCAGAUACUAAAUCUCAGGAUAAUAAUCACAUAGCCAUGAAAUCAACGAAUUACCACAGCAAUCCUGGAAACAAAACCAACAACAACAGAUAGAUACAACCAAUAGAUAAAAACCUCCAGAUUAAUCAUCAUAGGUUAAAAAACCCAACAAAUAGAGCAAUCACUAGAAUAGAAAGACCAACUGCACUCAAUUCCCAAUCACAAGGAAUGUAAAUGAUAUCAAAAUAAACAUACAAAUGAGGCAACAAACAAGUAAUUUAACCCUAGAAGGUAUGCCGUACCGGCCCAAACCAGGCAGUACGGGACAUACUGCACCGUACCGGUUCGGUACUUGUACCCGGUAUGGGUGGUGUACGGAGUGUUACCUUACUAUACUAAUACCGUGCUAGUGUGGCACCGGUAUGAGGUCCGCUACUGAGACGGCGAACCUUGCAUUGAAGGAUCAUAAAAGAUUGAAAUCAAGAAUCCCAACAGUAACUUCAGCAUGUACACUAAAACCCUCAUAAUAAUCAUCACGGGGCCAUAAAGAUAAAUGAUUCAAUACAAUAGUACACACAAAAUAACACCAACAACAUGUAGAUCCACCUGAAACAGCAAACCAACUAUUCAAAAUUUCAAACCUUCAUAGCAAGUUAGUAGCAAAAUUACAAAACCCAACACAUGGACCAAUCCUAGCAAUAAAAGAACAUAUUUCUCAAGGAUAACAUCCAAUCACAAGCAACCAAAUUCAUAUGGCAAAAGAGAAAUACAAUGGGUCAUUUAAUGGUUGAGUGCAUUGGAGGCCCGCAGGGGUCACAUGCAUUAAUGAUAGGGCGUGCCGAAAGCCCGCGGAGGUCACGUGCCUUAAUGGCUUGAUGACGGCAACAGAGUACGAUGGAGUCAGGUAUCUAGUUGUCAGAUUCUCUAAGGGAUUAGGCUGGGGUCGAAUAUUUGGACAAGGCAUGGGCUCGGCACCUGGUCGGGUGCCGAGCCGAGCCAGUUGCUCAGCGGAGUGCCUCCAGUUUGAGCGUUGUGGGGUCGGGCGCCUUUAUGGUCGGCGCCUUCCUGGUCGGGCGCCUUUAUGGUCGGCGCCUUCCUG
rnacentral:lncRNA from 1 species